GAUGUCGUGGGAUGGAUAUGUUGACAAUUUAAAAACAAACACCGCUAACGAUAUCGAGGACGCCGCCAUACUAGGGAUAGAUGGUUCGGUAUGGGCGAAAUCUUCCGGCAUGGAGGGAAUCCAGACGGAGGAGGCCCAGAAGUUCAGCCAGCAGGCCACGUCCUACAACGUGUGUGGAGAGAAGUACCUGUCGGUGGGGGGGGGGGACGGCAUCAUCAACAUGAAGUCCGUCAACCCCGACAGCGAAGGCAACAAGCGCCACAUCACCGUGGCCAAGAGCAACAAGUGUUUCGUGCUGGGCAAGGGAAAAUCAACCGGCCAGGCUGGGAACGUCUGCAAUGCUGUCUGUAAAAUCUCAGACUACCUGAAGCAAUCAGGCUACUGACCGUGACUCCGCCCACUUCCUGUGUGUCGACCCGGCCCCGCCCCUCCCCUCCAGGACCCGCCCCCCGCCCUGCCCCACUGCAGUCGUUUCAUUGUCGUCUGUGUUGUUCCAUUCAUCUGGGACCCAAUUGCUUCUCUUUUAGUUUGACUCCAUUGGCCAAUCACAGAGCUGGGAAGUGAUCACAUGACUGCAUCAAUAAAUGUGCUCAUCAAGAAACAGCGUGUGUAUCUGUGUGUGUGUGUGUGUGUGUGUGUACAAGGACCCUUGUGAGGACCGUGGGUUGAGGACUGGUUCCAGGUCUCACUGGUCCUCAGACCUCUU
rnacentral:lncRNA from 1 species